rnacentral:rRNA from 1 species
GAUGAACGCUGGCGGCGUGCUUAACACAUGCAAGUCGAACGGAAAGGCUCCUGCUUGCAGGGGUACUCGAGUGGCGAACGGGUGAGUAACACGUGGGUGAUCUGCCCUGCACUUCGGGAUAAGCCUGGGAAACUGGGUCUAAUACCGGAUAGGACGAUGGUUUGGAUGCCAUUGUGGAUAGUUUUUUCGGUGUGGGAUGAGCUCGCGGCCUAUCAGCUUGUUGGUGGGGUAAUGGCCUACCAAGGCGUCGACGGGUAGCCGGCCUGAGAGGGUGUACGGCCACAUUGGGACUGAGAUACGGCCCAGACUCCUACGGGAGGCAGCAGUGGGGAAUAUUGCACAAUGGGCGCAAGCCUGAUGCAGCGACGCCGCGUGGGGGAUGACGGCCUUCGGGUUGUAAACUCCUUUCGCUAGGGACGAAGCGCAAGUGACGGUACCUGGAGAAGAAGCACCGGCUAACUACGUG